GAUGAACGCUGGUGGCGUGCCUAAUACAUGCAAGUCGAGCGAACGGACGAGAAGCUUGCUUCUCUGAUGUUAGCGGCGGACGGGUGAGUAACACGUGGAUAACCUACCUAUAAGACUGGGAUAACUUCGGGAAACCGGAGCUAAUACCGGAUAAUAUUUUGAACCGCAUGGUUCAAAAGUGAAAGACGGUCUUGCUGUCACUUAUAGAUGGAUCCGCGCUGCAUUAGCUAGUUGGUAAGGUAACGGCUUACCAAGGCAACGAUGCAUAGCCGACCUGAGAGGGUGAUCGGCCACACUGGAACUGAGACACGGUCCAGACUCCUACGGGAGGCAGCAGUAGGGAAUCUUCCGCAAUGGGCGAAAGCCUGACGGAGCAACGCCGCGUGAGUGAUGAAGGUCUUCGGAUCGUAAAACUCUGUUAUUAGGGAAGAACAUAUGUGUAAGUAACUGUGCACAUCUUGACGGUACCUAAUCAGAAAGCCACGGCUAACUACGUGCCAGCAGCCGCGGUAAUACGUAGGUGGCAAGCGUUAUCCGGAAUUAUUGGGCGUAAAGCGCGCGUAGGCGGUUUUUUAAGUCUGAUGUGAAAGCCCACGGCUCAACCGUGGAGGGUCAUUGGAAACUGGAAAACUUGAGUGCAGAAGAGGAAAGUGGAAUUCCAUGUGUAGCGGUGAAAUGCGCAGAGAUAUGGAGGAACACCAGUGGCGAAGGCGACUUUCUGGUCUGUAACUGACGCUGAUGUGCGAAAGCGUGGGGAUCAAACAGGAUUAGAUACCCUGGUAGUCCGCGCCGUAAACGAUGAGUGCUAAGUGUUAGGGGGUUUCCGCCCCUUAGUGCUGCAGCUAACGCAUUAAGCACUCCGCCUGGGGAGUACGACCGCAAGGUUGAAACUCAAAGGAAUUGACGGGGACCCGCACAAGCGGUGGAGCAUGUGGUUUAAUUCGAAGCAACGCGAAGAACCUUACCAAAUCUUGACAUCCUUUGACAACUCUAGAGAUAGAGCCUUCCCCUUCGGGGGGGCAAAGUGACAGGUGGUGCAUGGUUGUCGUCAGCUCGUGUCGUGAGAUGUUGGGUUAAGUCCCGCAACGAGCGCAACCCUUAAGCUUAGUUGCCAUCAUUAAGUUGGGCACUCUAAGUUGACUGCCGGUGACAAACCGGAGGAAGGUGGGGAUGACGUCAAAUCAUCAUGCCCCUUAUGAUUUGGGCUACACACGUGCUACAAUGGACAAUACAAAGGGCAGCGAAACCGCGAGGUCAAGCAAAUCCCAUAAAGUUGUUCUCAGUUCGGAUUGUAGUCUGCAACUCGACUACAUGAAGCUGGAAUCGCUAGUAAUCGUAGAUCAGCAUGCUACGGUGAAUACGUUCCCGGGUCU
rnacentral:rRNA from 1 species